rnacentral:hammerhead_ribozyme from 1 species
AUCCAGCUAACGAGUCCCAAAUAGGACGAAGUGUCACUCGUCCUGGAU